rnacentral:rRNA from 1 species
GAUGAACGCUGGCGGCGUGCUUAACACAUGCAAGUCGAACGGUGAACGAGGGAGCUUGCUCCCUCCGGAUCAGUGGCGAACGGGUGAGUAACACGUGAGCAAUCUGCCCUGGACUCUGGGAUAAGCGUUGGAAACGACGUCUAAUACCGGAUACGAGGCGUGGGGGCAUCCCCAACGCCUGGAAAGAACUUCGGUCCAGGAUGAGCUCGCGGCCUAUCAGCUUGUUGGUGAGGUAACGGCUCACCAAGGCGACGACGGGUAGCCGGCCUGAGAGGGUGACCGGCCACACUGGGACUGAGACACGGCCCAGACCCCUACGGGAGGCAGCAGUGGGGAAUAUUGCACAAUGGGCGCAAGCCUGAUGCAGCAACGCCGCGUGAGGGACGACGGCCUUCGGGUUGUAAACCUCUUUUAGCAGGGAAGAAGCGAAAGUGACGGUACCUGCAGAAAAAGCACCGGCUAACUACGUGCCAGCCGCCGCAGUAAAAC